GUACAUUUUCAGCUGACCUCAAUGCAAAUAAAUUACAUGUUUGCCCAACUUUGAGGUUGAAAGGUAAUGCUCAGUUUACAGUCCUAUCUGCGGUCAGGGAACAUCUCAGUUUGAACACAUGCUGUCACGAGGAAAAGGGAACAAUAACACCUGAUACUCCCAAUCGUAUCCUCCAUCUACUGCAUAAGAUGACAGCAACAUGAGAAGAAAAACCAGACACCAGUGGACAGGAGGAGUUGGUGCUCAGAUGGGAGGAGGUGGAGCUGCUGUUCCUCACCUUGUGGAGGAGUGGAACUCCACCAAUAAGAAGCCCUGACUUGUUUCAACUCGCAGUUUAACAAAGUCGCAGGAGUUUGCCUUUCAGAAAACCAAGACGGACAAAAAAACAGUAAGUUUCCACUUCCAUCUUUAGAAACACAUUAUUUGAAAGUAUUAAUUGUUAUAAAAGUAUGUAAUAGUGUGGGGCUGUUCACAAUAAAACUGUACUAACUGUAAAACAAAUUAAGUCAAACAUAAACAAGUUCUGAUUUUUUAUUUUAAAAAUAUUUUACAAAAUGCUAAUAUUCACAUUAACAUGAAGCUUCGAGGAACAUUUGGUUCAUUAAUCUACAAACAUUAAGAAAAUAUUUUUCUUUUUCUUUGUACUUUAUUUGUUUGAGGAUGUUUUCAAAACUUUGUUUUUGCUUUUUAAAUACCAUGUUUGAACUUUGAAAUAACAUUUUUACCUUCAUUAACCAAUUAUUGAAUAAGACACAUUUUUUAAAAUGUUUUUUAAGAAAAGGACUGAAAUUAAUUUACAGAAAUCUGUUCAUUUAUUAUAAUGCUUUAAUAUACCUAAAAUUUUUGGAUAAACAGAUUUAAGCUGUCCCUUUAGGCUUGUUUUGCUAUUACAAAAUAUUCAUGUUUUGUCUUGAAGUAAAAAUGUAAGAUGGACAUUCUUUGACUGAGAUUAACCUUUUCUGAUCUAAAAUCUGUAAACUGGACUUUUUUUUUACUUUUGUUCAGACA
rnacentral:lncRNA from 1 species